UACGUAGGGUGCAAGCGUUAAUCGGAAUUACUGGGCGUAAAGCGUGCGCAGGCGGCUUUGCAAGACAGAUGUGAAAUCCCCGGGCUUAACCUGGGAACUGCAUUUGUGACUGCAUGGCUAGAGUGCGGGCAGAGGGGGAUGGAAUUCCGCGUGUAGCAGUGAAAUGCGUAGAUAUGCGGAGGAACACCGAUGGCGAAGGCAAUCCCCUGGGCCUGCACUGACGCUCAUGCACGAAGCGUGGGAGCAACAG
rnacentral:rRNA from 1 species